GCUGCUGGUCCCACUCCGGCUGGGCUUCCGCGUCCUGCGUGUGGACAGCCGAGGACUCGCGAGGCUGUUCCCGGGGUGCGCGAUGCCGGAGCGCGGGGCAUGCAGGGGCGGAGGGCGCGGAGAGGGCGUGAGGGAAGUAAGCGUGCGUGAAGAGACCCCCACCGCCCUCGGAAACAGAGUUACGGAGAACUAAGUUGGGAGUAUGGGACUUACGAGAGACAGAAUACUACAUGUAAAAUAGGUAUAUUCCUCAAGUGGGACCGCUGAGUCACAGGAUGCACAUUCUGCAGGCUGACACCUGCCAAACUGCCCCCGCCUAAAAGUGGACCUAACUCUGCAACUACAACGGGGUACACAGGGACUCACAUCACACCCUCACAGUUGGCUCAUCACUUUUUUUUUUUUUUAACUGCUCUUAUCACACAUUUUUUACUUCCUUAAUAAAGAAUCUGAGCCUAUUUUCAAGGACACAAAAGUGACCUAACUACCUAGUUUUCUGUUAUAACUAGAUUUCAAUUAUGUGGCAAAGACAUAUACACCAGUUACAAUAAAUAAAAUCCAAAGUAGUUUCAAACCAUCUUGCUGUACAUUUAACUAUUAUCUACUCUUUUUGGAAUAAUUUAUGUGGAUCCUGGGACCAAAAUGAGACUUUGUUCAGAUUUACAAAAUCAUUAAGAAAUCUCAGACAACAGAGUAGAGUUGCCCAACCUCAGCACUCCCGACAUUUGGGCUGUGUGAUCCUUCCUCGAGGGGGCUGUCCGUGUAUCGUAGGAUGUUGAGCGGCACUCCUGGCCUCUACCCACUAUGCACCAGCAGUGACCCUCCCCCACCCCUAGAUGCGACAACCACAAAUGUCUCCAGAAAUUGCUAAAUGUCUCCUGGGGGGCAAAAUCACCACCAGUUAAGAACCACUGGACUAGAAGAGCUAUCAGAAAUUUGAACACAGAGAACACAUUUCAGGAAGAAUUUGAAAAAGUACAGAAUCUGGAAACCAGAGGCUGACAUCAAUCUAAAGCAGGGUCAGCAAACGUUUUUUGUAAAGGGUUAUUAAAUAGUAAACAUUUUAGACUUUGAGAGACAUUUGUUCUCUGUUUCAACUACUCAACUUUGCUGUAGUAGUAUGAAAGCAAUCAUAGACAAAGCAUAAGUGAAUACGCUUAAGCGAAUAGGCUUGGCUGUAUUCCAAUAAACCUUAAUAGGUUAAAUUUGAGUUUCAUACAAUUAUCACAUGUCAUGAAAUAUUAUUCUUUUGAUCUUUUUAUAAUCAUUUAAAAAUAUGAAUGCCAUUCCUGGCUCACAGGCUGUACAAAACAGG